UACGUAGGGGGCAAGCGUUGUCCGGAUUCAUUGGGCGUAAAGAGCGUGUAGGCGGCCAGGUAGGUCGGUUGUGAAAACUGGAGGCUCAACCUUCAGAGGUCGACCGAAACCAUCUGGCUAGAGUCCGGGAGAGGAGAGUGGAAUUCCAGGUGUAGCGGUGAAAUGCGUAGAUAUCUGGAGGAACACCGGUGGCGAAGGCGGCAUCCUGGACCGGCAUUGACGCUGAGGCGCGAAAGCCAGGGGAGCAAACGGG
rnacentral:rRNA from 1 species